AGUGCAGGGGAACUUGAUUAAAAUGGUACACAAGAUCAAUUUAACAUAAAAUAAGUAAGAAUAGCAGUUAUGGUCCUGCCACAAACCCAACUUAUGCCAAAUUGAAUAGAGCAUUAGGACUACAGCAUGGAGCUAGAGCCUUUGGUACAAGUACAAACACACAAUACCAAAAUUUGACAUGAGCAAAGGACAUAAAGAACACAAGGGAACUCACAUUUGCUUGGUAUACUGUCAUUUUGGAAUGCAAGCAAUUUCACAUUUUUUGUAAAACAAUACUAACCGAAUUUAGCAGAUAACAGAAUGAUUAGGGAUCUUGACCGAAUAUCUAGUAAAAAAAAUCCUGCACAGUGUCAAGUAGAUCUUAACAUACAUAUAUUGAUCUUGAAGAAAUGCCUUUUUGCAUAUUGAAACAUAAUAUUGGACACCAUCUCAGCAACAUCUACUAAACUAACUAGCAACAGAUAACAAGAAACACCAAAUAGCCAAUUAGCUUUGGCUUUCUCCUUGAAACUUUCCAAGAACCAUUUUUUUCCCAUACUGAAACCACCCUUCAAUUCUGAUUAAACACAUAAGAUAGCAUCCAUCCCAAAUGCUGUAAAAGUUGGGUCUUUUUCCAAGCUUUUAAAUCCAACCCAAAAUGCAGGUUACCAAUUAGAUCAAAACCCAAAAAGGGUUCUCAUUAUAUCACCAUUACAACAGAUCUACCAACCAAACAAUCAAUCAAAAACUUCAACUUCUCCCCAAAAGUUCAGAACAAGUAAAAACGAAGAUGAAACAAUGAUAAACAAGCACCGACCCAGAACAAUGCAGGCCUGAUCGGUGAAGUCCACAAAGGAAUUGGACCCGUUCAGGAAGAGGAAAACUGCUAUCCGCAAUAGCAAUUGCAACAGCAGCAGCAGCAGAAGGCAGGUGUCUUUGCUGCCACCCGUUCUAGUAUGGUAGCAGUGAAGAGUUAGGGACCAUUAGGUGGAUAAUUUAUUACUUAAUUUACUAGUAUUAGUAUCAGUAAUAGUUAUUUUUUUGAAUAUUUGGAGAAAUUUUUGGGGAAAGGAUGGAUCUUGACCUUAGAUUUUGAUAUCGGCACCUGGAAUGGCACCAUCAGCCACCGGAUUUGCACGUUAGAAUCUUGAGAUUGACAGCCUGGCAAGGUGAUGGAGAUACAACUCAUACUUGUCUCUGUCCAUGUCUUGUUUGUUCCUUGUUGAGAGUCCUGUUCCCGCCGGUUUUCUUUUGAAUUUCAAGUUUUUUUUGCUACAUUUAAUUCUAGGGACAAUAUAAGAAACCUCCCUGAGGCUUUUGACAAUUGCACUAGCAUUCACUGAAUUUUGCAAAAUUACACAAACCUCGUUGAGGUUAAGGUUUUGAUAACGAAAUUAGUCCAAUUAAAAAAGUAACAUUAAAAAUACUUUAAGGAAAGAGAUGAAACUUUUAUUUCAUAAAUACUCCUUAUGCAUAUAUAAGUUGUAUUAGUAAAAGAAUAAAAAUUAGAAAUAAAUAAGAAAAAUGACUAGUUUCAUCCCUCACAUUUUAUAAAAAUAUUCUUUUCGUCCCUCGCUUUUAAAAUGAAGUGAAUUUCGUUAUUUGACAUUUAAAAACUAAACUAUUACAUCCCUGUACGCAACUUUCAAUCUAAGUCCAAUCACCCAACAACCCGAUUACAAAUUUCAAGGUUAUAAUUGGUAGAUCAUUUGGUUAACUCAACUUAAUAUUCAUAUGAAAAUUAAUGAACUCAAAAAAGGAAAAUAAAUAAUUAUAACAUAAAAAAGAAGAAUUAUUCUUUCCUAUAUUGUCAUUGUAUAUAUUGAUAGGUCUAAAUACCUACCACAUCAUUUCAAUUGAAAUUUAAAUAACAAACUUGUAUGUAUGGUAUAUAUCUAGAUUCACAAGUAUAUACACUAACGGUACAUGAAAAAAUUUACCUAAAAAACAAACUCUACUAUUCCAAGACAAAAGAGCGACCUUUUCUAUUAUAAUUUUUUAUUUUUCAUUUUUUGGUUCAAUAAAUGUCAUGUAAAUGUAAUGGAGUUGACCAAGUGAUCCAUCAAUACUAUCCAUGAAAUUCGUUACUGGGUUAUUGAAUGGUUUGAUUCAUAUUAGAAAGUUGGGUUCAUGAAUGCAAUAGAUUCAAUUUUUAAAUGUUAGGGAUGAAUUUGCUUUGUUUUAAAAGUAAUGGAUAAAACAAUAUUUUCCAAAAUGUGAGGGACGAAACCAGUUAUUUUUUCAAAUAAUUAAUACACACAUUUCACCAUUCAAAAAGAUCAUAUUCAAUAAAUUAGAUAACACAAAUAAACAAGAAAACUACACUAAUGAUCACAAGAUUUAGCAAAACAAACUAGUCAUCUCUUUUAACGUGAUGUUUGCUAUAAUUCUUGUGUUUUUUAAUAGAAAAAAUUUUCUAAUUUUGCCUUUCUUUCGCCUUUACUUCCACAAAAUUACUUUCCAACUGUCACAACUUUAAGAGUUUCAAAGAAAAUAUUCUCAUGAACAACCUUCUUUUGUCCUAUUUUUUUUUCUUCUAUCAAAGUCCUUCUUCUCACAUUAUGUACAGCUGAUUUUUGGUCAUUGUCAAAUUCUAUCAAUCACAAAAUAGGGUCAUUAGGUAUAUCAAUUGGUGUUAUUUUGUAAUUACAAGUCAUCGUUCAUUAUUAAAUAAUUUCAACAGUUAUUUUCAUUAAUUAGUUACUAAUAGUUAAUUAGUGUUCUAAUUACUUAAUCGUUAGAUACUAGUUUCUAAUAAGACAUUAUGUCUUAAGGUAAAUGAAUAAUUUCUCCCCAUGUGAGGUAAGUAACUAGAGGUGGCAAUUUUCGACACGACCUAAAAACACGACACGAACCUAACACGAAAUUAAUGGGUUUGGGUUGAGGUUUCGGGAAUUCGGGUCAGAAUCGGGUUGGACCCGAUGAACCCGAAAAGAAAACAGGUCGAUUUCGGGUCAACCCGUGGUGACCUGAUAUGACCCGUUUACGAAUUAAAAAAAUUUAAUAAACAUAAAAAUAAUUUUAUCUAACUAAACUAAGUUAUUCUUUUUUUCAAAGGCAUUAAUUACUUAAUCCUAAAUGAAUUUAUUUAAUUUGUGUGAAGUUGAAAUUAUUAUAUUUGGACAAAUAAUAUAUUAUAUUAUUUUUUACUUUUAUAUUGUUUUAAUUUAUUUUAUAUUUUGUUUGGAAUAAAACACUUUUACGGUGUUUAAUUUAUUUUAGAUUUGGUUUGGAAUUAUUUAUUUAAAUUUUUAUUACUUGAUUAUGUAAUUAGUUUUGUGAGAAAUUGAUUUUAUUAGAAAUUACAGUGAUAAAUUAAUAAAUUAAAAUUAAGUUUCGGGUCAUUUCGGGUCGACCCGCCAACCCGUCAACCUGAAAUUUUCGGGUUCGGGUCAGCACACCUGACCUGUCACGGGUUGGCGGGUCGGGUUCGGGUCAACAGAUUUUCUGGCGGGUUCACCCGAACCCGACCCGCCAACCUGAUUUGGAUCCGAAUUGCCACCCUAUAAGUAACUAGGCCCACAAUUCUAAUCAAGAGAGAUGAGUGUAAUUUUAAAAACCUCAGAGGACACCAAUAAAAUUGUCAGAAACCUCGAUGGAGGUUUCUGAAAGUAUCCCAAAAAGAAAAGGAAAGAGAAAGAAAAGAAAAAUGUCCUUGGAACAACUUGAGGAAAUGAUCAUUUUAGUCUUUCAAAUUUUUUUAUUAGUGCCUUUUUGUUUUGGAAAGAUUUCAAAUGGCAAUAGAGUCGUAAGAGAAUCAAGUAGGACACGAAAUUAAAGUUUAAGGAUUAAAUUGACAAAAUAAAAAUCGAGAAACUAAAUUGACUUUAGUAAAACAGGUGAAAGACUAAGGAGCCAUUUGAUUGAUUGCUAUUUUUUAGAGUUUUGUAAAAAAAUGUACUGUAUCGAUUUGAUAUAUGAGGUAAAAUGGUGAUUUUUUGUAUUGGAAGUUAUUUGAAACAAGUUUUUUUGUAUUAUUUGCCGUAACAUUUUUUGUCUUAUUAUGUAUGAGAUGUAAACCUGAUUUUGAAGAUAACAAGUGGUUUGAAAAUAUGUUUAAGGAAUAAUACAAAAAAUUAUAAAUAAUGAGUAAUCCAAUCAUAAUUCUCUUUUUCAUCCUACUAAGAGUUUAGCACUCAAUCUCCACUUAGUUCAGAUUACAUUCCUUCUCCAAAAAAAUGUGCUUUAUGAUAUGAUAUAUAUAAGACAAAAAAAAUUCUGAAAAGAUAGAGAUAUGAAUGGUGCCUUGUUAGUGAACAAUCCAAAAUAUGUAACAAAUAACAAGCAAGCAUAUAUACAGAUGUGUUAAUAAUUUGGGUUAUUACGUUUACCACCCUUGAGGUUUGGUCAAACUACUAAAUAAACCUCAAAAUUUAGCCAAAUAACAACCAAACCCUUUGAAUGAAAAGAUGUAUCAAAAUACCCUGAUGUCUUUCACCAUUAAAAAUGGUGUUAAUCAGAGUUCAAAAAUGCCCAUGUACAUCGAAUCUAUUCUAAAGCAACAAGAUAUAGCUUAUCAAAUGUCCUAAUUUGCUCAACAAAUUUUUUGACUGAAAAUCUUAGAAAUGGGUUUAGAGGUUUGGGGUCUUUAGGCUCCUAACCUCGCUUAGUUGUAGGCUUGUUUAUGCUCUAUGCAUGAUUAUUUUGUUAUAACUAUUGUGGGUUUUGCGCUUGAUUUCAUUGGGGAAAGAAAAGGAGUGCUACUGGUUUGCCUUCUUUUGAUUGGUCUAUAGCCACUGUGGGCCAAAUGCAAAUUUCACUUAAAAAGUCAGGCAGUAGGGAGUUACUGCUGGUAUCACAGUUGCUCUAAAAUAUUAGCCAAGAAGAUCAAGAUAAAUUAGAAAAAAGAAAUUAAAAAGGGAUUAAUGAGGGUUUGUCAAAACUAUGACAUUUUGGACAUAGGGGUUUUGGUCUUAUCAAUAAUUCCGUUUACAAGAUUUAACAGAAAUUACUCCCAAGGGGCUAUCUGUUAUUUGGUCAAACUUCAAGGUUUGAUCAGUAGUUUGGUUAAACCUCAAGGGAGGUAAAUGUAAUUAAUUCUAAUAAUUUUGUUGUUGCUUUCUUUCUUCAAAUUGAGGCUUUUGGUAAAAGAGAAGAGCUUCGGAUAAGGAUUGGGUUCAUCUGCUAGUUAGUUUUUGUUAUUUUCUAAAUAUGUAGUCAUAUGUGUUAGAAGAUAUUGAAAAUAUUGGAUUUUUGGCUAAGUCUUUUCUAAGUGUAGUCAUAAGCUCUAAUUUGGGAGGUAAUUCCUGGGACUUUCGGCUAAUGCAGUCCGGGAUGGGAAUCUAAGAGUACUUGUAAAGCUCCAAGAUGUCUAUUUUCUUGUAUGGUGAGUGAUUCAAAUGAUCUUUCCAACAAAAACAAUGAAAAAAAAAAAGAAGUUGAGAGAAAUACUUCAACAAGUGCAAAAAGUGGUUUUUUUUCCCGAGAUGUAGAUUUUGAAAACCACUCGCAACAAAUUUUUUUCAGACUUUAAGAAAUCACAUAACGUUUGAAGGUUAUUUCGUAGUUUUGUAGCACCUUUUGAUGAUGAUUUCACUUAUUACAUUGAAAAAUGUGUGAAAAUGGUGCAAUAGAAUGAUUAAUUAACAAAGACAGUGCAAUUUUGUAUAUUAAAGAACAUUUAUAUCGCUUCUCCACUAAAUGUAUGGUUUUUUUUGUACGUCUAAUUAUACAUCCUGUCAAAAAGUUUGUAUAAAUACCCUUGAAUUUGAUAACAAGUAGUAUAUAAUUGCAUAUUUCUUUUACAUUUUUUUCCCUUGGACAAAGCCACAUGUUAUAUUUGAGAGUCUCGCAAGCGGCCGUUCCCGCUUUGGUGAUGAGUAAAAAGAGUUUUUUUUUGUCGCAACGAUAACAUUUCUAUAAUCUACUCUAUUCUAUUUUAGGGGAUAAGGGAACUUAACCGACAUGAAACACCAUUGGAGGAAAUCAUUGAGAGUGGCAAAUCAUAAAUAGUGGCUGGUGGGAGUAAAAAGAGUGCUGAAGAGGGCAAAAUUGCAUCGUUCAUUAAUUGACAAUGUUAGCAGUUAGCACUGCCUUUUUCACUAAUCUUGGCUCUUGGGUAGAAAGGCCUAUGAGUCUGACCUUAAUAUACCUUACCAAGUCUUACACCCAAAUUUCCUUUACUCAUUUGGCGAAGUGCUUGCUUCACCAUGUUGAUGCAAAUUCGUGCCAGGAGUAGAAAAUCUGUACCUUUGACCAUCUGUGUCAAAGUAGCUUAUGGGCAGCUGAAACACUAUAACUACAUCCAAGUAGCUUAUGGGAUGCUGAAACACUAUUUUCACCGUAACUUUGCAUGGAAAACUUGGAAUUGAAUGUCAUUUGUUGCGUUGAAACUAGAUUUGAAGGGCUUUAAACUCAUGUAAGUGUCUCAUGCUAAUUCCUUACCCAAAAAUUGGCGAACCUUUAAAAUUGACCCUUGUAUUUCACUAGAUUAAGAAGAUAAUAUAAGUUAUCACUUAGGGGUAUUGUUUGGAGUUUUUAUUGUGGUAAAUUAGUGAUGAUGAAGAGUCUUUAGAGCUAAAUUGAUUAUUUUUGUUAUAUCUAAGUAAGUAAGUAGUUAGGCUACAAUUUUGAGUCCAAAAUACAUUUUUUUGUCACAAAUUUCUGUUAUCAUAAUCUUCUUCAAUUAUUUGUUUAUUGUAUACUAAUAUUUAGUCAAAGAAAAAUAUAUUUGAAACUUUUCGUUAUGUCCGCAAUAUUUAAUUAUGCUAUUGUAUAUAACAAAUGAUGCAAUCAUUAAUAAAUGUUAUAUUUAACUAAAUACAUAGUGUUUAAUUAUCUUAUCAAUAAAUACUUAAAUGAUCUUAUACAGAUAAGUCAACUUUUCCACCUAUCUUGUCCAUUAAUUACGUUUGGAUUUUAAAAUAAGAAAGAACAAGAUUUUUAGUUUGAUCACAUGCAUUACAAUAUGUUACAUGUAGUUCCAAAAUUUUUAUUUUGGACUACCCCUAAUAUUUUAGAUAGCACAAUUUUAGCCUUAAUUGAUUAUACUAUUAUAUUAAUUGUACAUGAGUUACAUUAUUUAUUGCUCUAUAUGUGAAUUGCAAAUUUAAAAAUUAUUAGUAUGAGCAUUUUUUUACAUUUUUAUAGGAUCUAUCGAUCCAAUCCUGCAACCAAAACGAUCCUAAGUAGAAUCCCGAUUUUGAAAGCCUUGCGUCCAACCCCUUUCAAUCAUCUUCACUUGCAUGUGCUAUAUCAGAUAUCCACAACCAUCAGCACUCUCAAACAGUCUCUUUGGAAUUUGCAAGUGAGUUUUCAAGAUACCAAAAAUUGUUGACUCGGUGUUUCAAAAAUAAAAAUUUGUUGACUCGGGACUUUGCUUUACAAAAAUGUCCCUUUUGAGUUCUAUGGACAUGUACAAUGUUGCAAGCAAAUUGAGUAAAUGGUGAACCGACUUGGUCAAAGCUCGAACUCAAAUUGACUUAACAAAAUGUGAAUUAGUGUCAGGACUUGGGGCUUAAUUGUAAAUAGUAAUAAAUAAUAACAGUUUCUGUUAUUGGUAGUUAAGGUGCUGAGUCAGAUGACGUCAGCAGGUCAGUUUGUUAAGUUGGUUAGUGAUCGUGUAGGUCAUUCCUUUAUAAUGAGCUCUCUGCAAUUGCAGAGGCAUGAAGAGAAAUAACAGAAUUGAUUCUUCUCCCUCAAGCUUUCACUCUCUGUCUCUCUCUCUUUUCCUUUCUCUCCUACCCUUCUCCCUCUCUUGUUCUUCAUUCCACAGCUGCAUUGCAGCUCUAUCUCAGGAAUUCUACUUGAAUUCCGGACAAUUGGUACCAGAGCAGCGAUUCUCGGACUGAUUGCAACUAUUAACAAUGCGGAAGGCACACGAUUCAAGAAUAUGGAUGAUCAAUUGAUGAAACAGGAAGUACGACUGCAGGAAGCUCUGUAAACAAUUUUCUCUCUCCAACAGAAUCAACAAGAAGUCCAGCAGCAAUUGCGGGGAGAGAUGGAGAAUUCUAACAAGAAAUGAGAGCAUUAAUCUCAGGCAUGGACCAGAAGCUCAACGCAUUGAUCCAAAUUAUGGCCAGAGAGAAGCAAUUGGAAAAAGAUGAGGCAGUUCAACCAGAGAAAACUCCAUUUCUACCAACACCCCCAGCACACACGAAGCUCCAGUCUGAGCUUGGUGUUAAUCAGUGCUCCAGAGCCAAGCCUUCCAAGGUAUUCUUACCAAAUCCCCCAAAGAUUGAGUUACCUCUUUUCACUGGAGAGAAUCCACGCAUUUGGCUUCGUAAAUGUCAGAAAUAUUUCCUCACCUACCAAAUUCCUCCAGACCAGCAAAUGGAAGUAGUUGAGAUGUUUUUGGACAGUAAGGCGGAUGUAUGGUAUCAAGGCAUCAAAAUGGAAUUCCCAGAGUUAUCUUGGCAACUAUUCACUGAAUUGCUCGGUGAGAGAUUCGCGCGAAAAAGGAGCUCGGAUGUAGUAGAAGAUUUCAACAAACUGCAGCAAGUAGGGACAGUGGAGGACUACCAGGAAAGGUUUGAGGAAUUAAAAUCGUUGAUGUUAGUUAAAAAUCCUCACCUAUCCGAAUCAUAUUUCGUUUCAAGCUUCAUUAGUGGAUUGCGAGAUGAAAUUAAGACUAUGGUAAAAAUGUUGAAGCCAAACAAGGUGUCAGAUGCUAUGGACUUAGCCAGGUUGCAGGAGGAAGCCUGGAGGUUACAGCAGAAAUCUGCUAAGGAAUUACCAAAGUCGCCUGUUGAUCCUAAGUUUGGCUUAUACAAAGGUACUGCUGCUGUUCCAAAUGCCUAUAAAAUUUCACCGACUAAUGUAAUCAAAAGUGAGACUAGUUCAGCUACACCAAUCAGGAAAAUAUCGCCUCAAAAAAUACAAUUUAGAAGGAAUAAUGGACUGUGCUUCAAGUGUGGUGAACGUUUUGGGGCAGGGCACCAGUGCAAGAACAGACAACUGAACAUGAUGGUAGUCGAUGAGGAAGAUGAAGGAGAAUUCUUGGAUGCUGUAGGGGAGCAAGAUGAAAGGACAGGCAACCCUGGAGAAUUGAUGGAGGUAUCACUCCAUGCACUUUCUGAGGCACUGAAGAGGAAAACAAUCACUCUCAGGGAAGAAAUCAGGGGAGUUCCCAUACAUAUUCUGGUGGACAUAGGUAGUUUAGACACCUACAUUAGCCACCAUCUGGUUAAAGCUCUAGAAUUGCCAUAUGUGGUCACCACUCCUUUCACAGUAGUUUUUGGGGAUGGCUCAAUGAUAUCAGGAUGCACUAAAAGUCCUAAGGUACUUUGGUCCACUAAUAAUCACAAAUUCUGUUUUGACAUGGGGGUCAUGGAGCUAGGUGGAUAGGAUCUGAUUUUAGGGGUGGAUUGGAUGGCUCAUUAUAGCCCCAUCAUAUUUGACUUCCACAAGCUCAUUAUAGCUAUUCAUAGUGAAGCGGAAGAAAUCAUCCUGCAGGGAUGUGUGGUAGAAGCUGAGCUCAAUCUGUUGAGAAACAAGGACCUCAGGAACUUCAUUAAUUACAAACAUAGCUGUUACAGUAUAUCUCAGGGAACAAAUCCAGACGCUGAGUCACCUAUUGAAGUCAAGGAGUUGUUGGGCAAGUACAAGGAUGUGUUUACAGCACCUACAGGCUUACCACCAAAGAGAAGUCUGGAUCAUGCCAUAUCCCUCAAAUCAGAUGCUCAGGCCUUCAAAAUCAAGCCUUACAGGUACCCUCACUCACAAAAAACUGAGAUAGAAAGGCAAGUUAUGGAAAUGUUAGACAGUGGGAUCAUUAAGCAUAGUAAUAGUCCCUAUGCUUCACCUGUGUUGCUGGUCAAAAAGAAAGAUGGCACCUGGCGUUUUUGUGUUGACUAUAGGCACCUGAAUAAAUUGACUAUCAAGGACAAGUAUCCCAUCCCUAAUAUUAAGGAGCUGAUAGCUGAGUUAUGUGGAUCCAAAUAUCAUUCCAAAUUAGACUUAAGGGCAGGGUAUCACCAGGUUAGAGUUAAAAUCCAAGAUGUGCAUAAGACUGCCUUCCAAAUUCAUGAAGGGCAUUAUGAAUUCCUAGUCAUGCCUUUUGGGCUGACAAAUGCUCCAGCCACUUUCCAGGCAUUAAUGAAUUAGGUUUUUCAGACAUAUCUGCGCAAGUUUGUGUUAAUAUUUUUUGAUGACAUACUGGUCUGCAGCAAAGAUCUAGAUCAGCAUGUGAGACACUUGGAGAUGGUAUUGAAGGUACUGAGAGAGCAUCAACUGUAUGCCAAACUGUCUAAAUGCUCAUUUGCUCAGCAGAGGAUUGAAUAUCUGGGACAUAUGAUUUCAUCAGAGGGGGUAAGUAUGGAAGAAGGAAAGAUCAAAGAUGUUCUAGAUUGGCCUACCCCCAACUCAGUUAAGGCAUUAAGGGGAUUCCUAGGCCUUACGGGCUACUAUAGGCGAUUCAUCAAACAUUAUGGGAUCAUAUGUAGGCCAUUGACAGAUCUACUCAAAAAGGAUAGCUUCUGCUGAAAUGAACAAGCAGAUGCUGCCUUUAGAAAACUUAAGCAAAUCAUGUGUACUUCACCAGUUCUCAGACUACCAGAUUUUGAGAGGCCAUUUGUGAUUGAGACAGAUGCCAGUAAUGGAGGCAUAGGUGCAGUGUUGCAGCAGGACUCUCAUCCCAUAGCUUACCUCAGUAGAGCUCUAUCAACAAGGAAUUUGGAUCUAUCUGUCUAUGAGAAAGAGUUAAUGGCCUUGGUGUUAGCUGUGACCAAAUGGAGACAUUAUUUAGUGGGACACAUUUCAUAAUUAAGACUGAUCACCAGUCAUUAAAAUAUUUGUUGGAACAGAAGUUAACCACACCCUGCACAAGUGGUUGACUAAACUUUUAGGCCUGGACUAUGAGAUCAGUAUAAGAAGGUAGUGACAACACUGCUGCUGAUGCUCUAUCUAGGAAAACGUUCUGUGGCCAGGAAGACCAGCCAGAGAACUCCCUUACUAGCAAUUUCUGCAGUCAAACCCAAAUGGAUGGAGGAAUUAUACAGAAGCUAUGAAGGGGAUGAGCACUGGCAAUCUGUUAUAGCUCAAUGUCUGCUGGACUCACACACACAUAGUGAUUAUCAGAUCUUAGAUGGCAUCAUUAAGUACAAGGGAAAAUUGGUAGUAGGUUAGCAAAUGAUAUCAGGAGCUCCUUACUCAAGGCAGUACAUGAUACUGCUCUGGGAGGGCACUCAGGCCAAAUGGGACUUAUCAGAAGCUGAAAGUCGUAUUCUAUUAGGAAGGAAUGAAGCAAGAUGUGAUCAAGUUUGUCAGUGCUUGUGACAUGUGCCAGAGGUGCAAGCAUGAAAAUGUGUCUUACCUAGGUUUGUUGCAGGCUUUGACUAUCCCUGAUAAGGCAUGGUUCCACCUCACCAUGGACUUCAUUGAGAAGUUACCUAUGUCACAGGGAAUGGAUACCAUUCUGGUGGUCAUAGAUCGCUUCACAAAAUAUGCACAUUUUCUGGCACUCAGACAUCCUUUUACAGCCACACAGGUUGCACAGCUCUUCCUGGACAGUGUAUACAAGCUACAUGGAUUGCCAGUGUCUAUUGUCAGUGAUAGAGAUAAAAUUUUCACUAGCAAAUUUUGGCAGGAGUUAUUCAGAUUGAUGGGAGUAGCACUACACCUGAGCUCUUCCUAUCAUCCCCAAACAGACGGUCAAUCAGAAAGACUUACCGGGCCGCGUUUAAUAACUAUGACUCUAAUUCAGUAAGCAGUCGGAAACAAUUAGAUAAAACAGAAAACAACGGCACGCACCAAAAGCGAAGACGAAAUGUAAUGGUACAUGAGUAGGAAAAUACAAGUUUCAGGAGGCAAGCUCUCAAAUUUAUUCCUCAAAUAUCCACGGCCCGCUUCCUCAAACAUGAGUACAUAUAUCUAUAGAUAUUACUAGUUCCCUAAAACACUGGACACCGAAUUAAUCAAGGAAAAGAUAAUACAAUUGGACUCGGACACUUUAACCGACAUAAGCCCAAGGAGACUAAAUACGACUCGGACGUCACACCAAUUUUGGACGCUGAACUAAAUAAUUAAAUAAGACUUGGUUUAACUUUCUACAUUGCCACCCUUAAACCAAGGUCUUCAAAAUCUGCUAGUUUUCUUAGAAAGAAAAAUAGCAUAAGAAAGAAUAUUUGGAGAACGAAAUAGACCUUAAAAUCUGCUAUGUGCUUCGAAUGAUCCGGCCGAAUACUAAGUUAUUACACAUCAAACUAUCUGCUCUUCUCAGCUGGCAUUGAGGUUGGUAGUGUUCCAAAGACCUUAUCCCAUAAUGAGGAAGUGAUACCAAAGCCUUUAUUUUGGAUACGAAAGUGAUGAUUCAAAUGAUAUUUCUGCAAAAGAGAGAUGAUCAGAAAGAUAUGCAGAUCAAACCACUUGUGCAGUGGAGAAAUUCCUACCUUCUUCCAGGUUCAGGUGACAAAACGGCCCCAACUGAAUCAAGAAUUCAUACGGGCAACGGAAAAUUUGAUUUGUUCAUGACAGAUCAUUCUAGAUAUGGGGCUAAUGCAAGUCUAUGCAAAUUGUUUCUACUAAAAUGAUAGCAUGUAUCUACGAUCCGAGUUUGUACAUAAUUUUUAGUAUGUAGAUUGUUUUUUACACACAUGUAAAUGAGAAAUGUAAUGAGACUCAAGUUGUUCUGAUGGAUUUGUAUCUCUUUACCUUGAGUUUUUUGGCACUUCACUUGUAGGCUGCCCAUGGUGCAAGUAAUAAUGGGUUACAUCAUACAUCACAUAACCCAGUAAACCACCUCCAAACAAAGCAGGAGCAGUAGAAGGAGUAGAAAUGAGUUUUACUAAGUUGUAGAACUGCAAAACAAGAAGACAAGUAUCAGAAGAAGAAGAGAAUGUGCUGUGCAUAUACUCCUAAGAAUUAACUAAAAGGGGAAGACUUGGAAGAAAGGCCCGAGUUUAAGACUGCUUAUCAGACACGUGUAGCUGAAGGCAAGCAUAAAAUGGAUUUGCAUUUCUUUUCAAACAAUUUUCUGUUAUCUGUACUCAUUAGCACAUGAUGUACCGCAUUCUCCAGUUAUCUCGCAUAAAUUCAGUCAAAAUAUUCACUCCAUAUAGACAAAAUAUCAACUAAGGUUCCGUUUGAUAAAACUGAAUCUGAAUUCUGAAAUCUGAAUACUGAAACAAUUAAUUUAUUGAAUUUUAAGCACUGAAAAAUAUAUAUGAAUGUCUGAAUUUUAAUGCUAAACCUAUUUAUACUGUUUGAUAAAUAUUUAUAGCUGAAUGCUUAAUAAGUUUAAUUUGACAAUUUUGCUCUUAUAUCCUUUCAUUCAAAAAAGAAAUAGAAUCUAUGAUUUAAUUAGUUUAAAAUUGUUCGAUAUGAAAAUGACAAUAUUUAUUUUUAAAUCAAAUUAAUAUAAAAGAUGAAAUAUAUUAUAUGAGAAGUAUGGAGAAUAUGUGAAAGUCAUUAAAAAGGAGAAAAGAGAAACUAAAAAUCGUUAGAUAGAGAAUAUUAUGUUGUUUAAUUAGAUAAGAAUUUUGAACAUAAUUAACAAACAAUGGUAGAUUUGGUAGAUAAGAUAAGAUAGCUGAAGUAAUUCUAUUGAUUCUUAUCAGAAUUAAGCAUUCAGUUAGGAUUCUUGUGCUGAAAAAAAUACACACAGGUUCAGCACUGCUUAACAAGUUCAGCAAAUAGAUUUUCAUUUAUCAAACACUCAAAACAUCUGAAUGUCUGAAAAAAUUCAGAUUCAGCACUUUUUUAUGUUAUCAAACAGACCCUAAAGCUCAACAAACCUCCAGUGAGAGCUGAAAGAGUAAAUUGGAGCAGUUUAAGACAACCACCAUCCAAAAUGGCAGAAAAUCAGACACUGAAACCAGACUCGAACUUGUUGUUUAGACAGUUUCAGUAGGUGAAAGUUCACUAUGUACUGGUCAGUACCAGUCUAAGCAACUACAUUUUCAACAUAUUCAAUGGAAUGUCACAAGCAAAUUUUUCUCCCUCCAUGCAUCUUACUCUCGAAGACAACAAAUAUUCAUGUCCAGUGCCUCUUAGAUGUCAUUGCUAACCCAGUAGCUACUAAAUUGUAUUUCUAGAAUUAUGGAGCAGAUAACAUCUUGCCCUCUCCCUCCCUCUCCCAUGGGGCAUGAAUCUGGUGGCCACCAGCCCGAUGUCAUCCUCAACCUAAAUGCUAGCAAGGGAAGAACUUUGAUGCAAUGGCUACUCACUUAGGAAUAGUACAGAAAUCAGCUGCUAGCAGUAUGUCACAGUCAAAAACAAGUCUCACAGUUGAGAUUCCUAUGAAAAUUUCAUAUCCCUGACCUGGAAUCCUUUUCAGUCACAUGUAUCUUUUAUGCACUUUUAGUAAAUGUGUCAAAAAAAUUGCAUGAUUACAUGACCUGACUUGGUCAAUUACUGGCAGGAACAUUUGUCUGAAAGACAUGCGAGGAUCCCAGUAACUACCAAAUAGCCUUACUAUGAAUAUUGUAAAGCAUAGCACGAGUUAUUAGUAACGGGAAGGGAGUGAAGAAAGAAAAUACAGGCUUUAUACAGUAUGAAUAAAAAACGAAACGCUGCAGAAGGAAACAUACAGGUAAGCACAGCACAGCAGUUGCAGCAGGAGGGAAGACAAGGCGCAGACCAUCCAUGGGGUGCUUAUGAUGGCAACCAUGAAGAAGAUAAUGUAUGGUAUUUCCCCUACAACAAGUUUUUACAUAUUUCAUUACAUAGAGAAGAAAAAAAACACAAAUACAAAUAACACCGACAAGAAAGACGACAAACAAUUAACAUGCCUACACACAUAGCAAUGACUAACCAAUAACUUUUCGUCUUGAUGUGGAAAAGGAAACGAUGUAGAGUGUAUUCUAGCAAAGUCCAUACACCGAUUCCAGUUACCACCGUCAGAGCUAUUUGAGGAAGUGUAUGACCCAUCACAAUCGACUUUGAAACAAACCAACAUACAACUGGGAGCCAAACAAUGGGGAUUACCCACCAUUCUGUGCGGGUUAAAAACUAUUUCGAGUAAAAAUGAAAUCAACAUCAGCUCUGUGAAGCAUGACUUGAUAACAUACAUAUAAUAAUUAUUCAAGUGUCAAUAUAAAUGAAUAAUCAUAUUAUCAAAUUCACCAGAGAGUAUACCUCCCAAAAGUCACUUCCAAAAAAUCGGGGACCUUCCUUGCUAACUAUAGGCUGGUGAACCCACUCCUGAUAAGAUUCUCCAAGAUGACCUACCUGUGUAAGAUUUCAAAGAAUUUCAUAAAGCAAAUUCAAAAAGUUAAAGUAUGGUUUAAUUGACUUAAACAAAUAUAUCUCUUAUGUGGAACAGCAGCACUAGUAUCCAUCAGCUAGAAAAGGUUACAAGUCAAAAAGGAAAACAUGUUCUGCUGCAUGUUAGUAAAACAAACGAAUUGGUCUAUUAUAAGGCAAAAUGCCAUCUUGCCCAGUUCAACAAACUUUUUAUGCCUAGUUUUGUUUGUCCUUUUCACGGCUUGGGGGGUUUUAUUUGUUUUGUGGGUGGGGGGGGGGGGGGCGGCGAAGAAAAAUGCAGGACUUAGACCUGUUGAUGUUUUCAUUUCUCUACCUUAUAGUUUCCUCUUUGAACUGAGAAUAGAAAGAUAAACAUGGCUGCAUCACUAAAUCUAGAGCAUAAAAAUACAAUGCAACUGGCAGGCUAUGAUAUUGCUAACAACAGUUUAUUUAAGUACUCACUGCAUGGGAAGGACAAAAUUAAGGGAUGCCAUUAACUCAACUUUUGCUUCUAUUCACCAUAGGAAUCUGUCAUUUCUAGUGACUGCAAGACACUGAACUAAUUACAAGGACUCUAGCAUGGGUGUCACGUCUGGGUGCUCCUCUAGGUAUCAGAUUCAUAAACUUUCUAGAAUUUGGGAUACUGGGACGCCAAAGAGUCAGGUUUAUCUGGAUAUAGUAGAGAAGAUAUACAAACAAUACAUACAUAUAUUAUAUUAUAUUACAUACAUACAUAUAUAUAUUUAUAAUGUAUAAUAUUAUAUAUAUAUUAUACAUAUAUUAUAUUUUUCGGCUAAUAGUGUACUUUAUUGAAUCUCUUCUGAAUGAUAACAGUGAGAGGAGGAAAAGUUUCAGAGAAAAGGCAAGGGUGGACCACAGACAUAUGAUUAAAGGUAUUAGGCUACUCAUGGAGUGUGUUAUUUGCUUGACUAUCAAGUAGUGGAGAAGACAAUGAAAUUGGUAUAGUAUAUAAAAUCAAUAAAAGUACUUGUGAUAUAUUCAACAUCAUCGUCAUGUGAGCCAAUGACGUUACUCUCAACUUUCUGAUACAUAUUCAAUUGCUUAUCUUUUAUCUUUUGAAAUUGAAGUCUUCUCAUCUCUCUCACAUCUACUACUCCUUGCUUACCCUUUCCUUUCUUUAAUACGCUUUGAUUUCAGUGAAUCUCUGAAACAAAACCACCAUAUCCUCUCAUCUCCCUCUCCUGCAAGUUCCGAUCUUCUUCCCAUUCAUCUCACACCUGAUCGAAUUCAGAGCUACCAAGCAGCCAAGUAUCAAUUUAUUUUGACCAUGUUUGACACGGAUAUUACACCUGCACCCUUCACUUGUUACACCGACACUGGUGUUCCAGGGAUGAGUUAAGAGUCUGUAAAUAUAAUUCAUAAUUCCUAGAAGAAUAAUAGCUUGGCAUGCAAAGAUUUCAACUCUGUAUUCAGACUAAAGCAUUAAGACCAAAGAUAUUGUAAGUGAAAGAUAAAAAGAAUUAGGAGUUUUCACCUGGAAGACAAGAGGUUUGUUUAAAUCAACUGUGAAACCCUGAGCCACCAUCUUGGCACCAAACUAUAAAUGGUGUGACAUAUCAAAGGAAAUGAAAGAAUGAUUAGGCAGAUACAAAUAGGAUCAAAACCUAGUGAAAGAAUUUACACAUGAUGAAAAAUUUAGAAUAGCUUUUAGAACCAAGCUGAAGUAAUGAAACACAAACGUGAACCGAUCAUGAAUGACAAUAAUUGAAUUGUCACAACUUGAUUUAAGAAUUUCACACGAGCAACGUACUUCCAUCAGGCCUCAAAACCAUACAAAGGCAAGCAAAGCAAAGACACAACACAACUUUAUGGAGGAAACAAUUCCAUUUUAUGAUGUUCCCUACUCUUCCAAUCUGCAUCUCCAUCCUUUAUUCCAAGAACAUCCUAACGUAUUAAUCCUAGGCAAAUGACACAAGUAGCCAAUUUAGUCGGUAAUAAUAGUAGGGAAAAAUGUACCACUCGAGUGCAGGGGAACUUGAUUAAAAUGGUACACAAGAUCAAUUUAACAUAAAAUAAGUAAGGAAUAGCAGUUAUUGGUCCUGCCACAAACCAACUUAUGCCAAAUUGAAUAGAGCAUUAGGACUACAGCAUGGAGCUAGAGCCUUUGGUACAAGUACAAACACACAAUACCAAAAUUUGACAUGAGCAAAGGACAUAAAGAACACAAGGGAACUCACAUUUGCUUGGUAUACUGUCAUUUUGGAAUGCAAGCAAUUUCACAUUUUUUGUAAAACAAUACUAACCGAAUUUAGCAGAUAACAGAAUGAUUAGGGAUCUUAACCGAAUAUCUAGUAAAAAAAAUCCUGCACAGUGUCAAGUAGAUCUUAACAUACAUAUUUUGAUCUUGAAGAAAUGCCUUUUGCAUAUUGAAAACACAAAAUUGGACACCAUCUCAGCAACAUCUACUAAACUAACUAGCAACAGAUAACAAAAACACCAAAUAGCCAAUUAGCUUUGGCUUUCUCCUUGAAACUUUCCAAGAUAAUACUUCUAAUCCAACCAUUAGACUGCAAAAAAGUCACCAUUUCACGCUGAGAAAUUAAAGAAAAAGAAAAACCAAUUUUUUCCCAUACUGAAACCACCCUUCAAUUCUGAUUAAACACAUAAGAUAGCAUCCAUCCCAAAUGCCUGUAAAAAUUGGGUCUUUUUCUAAGCUUUUAAAUCCAACCCAAAAUGCAGGUUUACCAAUUAGAUCAAAACCAAAAAGGUUCUCAUUAUAUCACCAUUACAACAGAUCUACCAACCAAACAAUCAAUCAAAAACUUCAACUUCUCCAAAAAAGUUCAGAACAAGUAAAAACGAAGAUGAAACAAUGAUAAACAAGCACCGACCCAGAAGAAUGCAGGCCUGAUCGGUGAAGUCCACAAAGGAAUUGGACCCGUUCAGGAAGAGGAAAACUGCGAUCCGCAAUAGCAAUUGCAACAGCAGCAGCAGCAGAAGGCAGGUGUCUUUGCUGCCACCCGUUCUAGUAUGGUAGCAGUGAAGAGUUAGGGGACAUUAGGUGGAUAAUUUAUUGCUUAAUUUACUAGUAUUAGUAUGAGUAAUAGAGUGAUUUUUGUGAAUAUUUGGAGAAAUUUUUGGGGAAAGGAUGGAUCUUGACCUUAGAUUUUGAUAUCGGCAUCGGGGAUGGUACCAUCAGCCAGCGGAUUUGCACGUUAGAAUCUUGAGAUUG
rnacentral:lncRNA from 1 species